rnacentral:tRNA from 1 species
GGGUGAUUAGCUCAACUGGGAGAGCACCUCCCUUACAAGGAGGGGGUCGGCGGUUCGAUCCCGUCAUCACCCA